rnacentral:tmRNA from 1 species
GGGGGCGCACUGGUUUCGACGGGGGUUUUGAAGCUUGAGUAGCGAGUCGAUGUUGCUGAUCAUCGUAAAAAGCGGCGCAUAAAUAUAAACGCAAAAACAGAAAAAAGUUACGGAAUGGCUUUAGCUGCAUAAUAACGCACUAAAGUUGUUUUAAGACUUCGCGGCAAAAUUAUUGCCGCACGCCUCCCGGUUCAACCUGUGGUUCAGGGUUUCGGCGUUCAUCGAAGCAGGGAACCGUUUUAGGUUGUGUCUCGGGCCUUUAACGCAUAAGAGACUGGUUUCUUUUUUCCUUUGUCAUUGGAGAAGAAGAGGAAUGAGAAAAUAAUCAAUGACUGCACUCGGAGAAGCUCCUGUGAAUGGACUUUCGGACGUGGGUUCGACUCCCACCGCCUCCACCA